CGCAUGCAGGGCGGCCUGUUAAGUCAGAUGUGAAAGCCCGGGGCUUAACCUCGGAAUUGCAUUUGAAACUGGCAGGCUAGAGUCUUGUAGAGGGGGGUAGGAAUUUCAGGUGUAGCGGUGAAAUGCGUAGAGAUCUGAAGGAAUACCAGUGGCGAAGGCGGCCCCCUGGACAAAGACUGACGCUCAGAUGCGAAAGCGUGGGGAGCAAACAGGAUUAGAUACCCUGGUAG
rnacentral:rRNA from 1 species